ensembl:lncRNA
GGUGCCCAGACAUUGGUGACAUUCAUCUGCUGUGCUAUGAGGCUGUUGCUGGGUGAGAUUUGGUGUGGGUGGUCCUCACACAAUCAGCUGAAGAUGCUGAAGAGAGCAAAAAAGGCUGAGUAAAAGGGAAGACCUCCUGCCCUAUCAUGUCAGCUGGGCCAGUUGGCCUUUUCUUUCCUUUGCAGUUGAAUGGAAACUUUUGAUUCUUCAUAGGUCCUGGCCCUUUGGACUUAGACUGGAACUGAAUCACCAGCUCUCCUAGGUAUCCAGCUUGCUGACUACAAAUGUUGGGACAUCUUUGCCUCCAUAAUUGUGGCUCAAGGGAUCCAACUCCCUCCAAGCCUUCCCUUCCCAUGUGCUGCUUUCAUGGUCCUAUUGCAAAGUCACCCUUGUUUUGUGUGGUAAAGGGCCUACCUCUCCCAAGGAAGUCUUGCCUUUGGCUUUGGCUAGUGGGGUGUGAGCUCUAAGUUCUUAGAACUUCCUCCCUGAUGAAUGGUUUGUUUACCUAGGAGCUUUGAUAGUCUAAACUAACCAAAUAGUUUAACAGGAUGUGUGAUGGUUGACUGAUAGUGUCAACUUGAGUAAGAAAUGCCCAACCAAAUUGGCUCACCAUUGUUCUGGGUGUGGGGGACCCACCCUAGGGAGGAUUAUGGCUAGAAUGGUAUAAAAGGGAAAUGAAGAAGGUUGGUUUGCUUCUGUUUCUUUGGAGGAGCUCCACCCUUCACUUUCACCUUGGACAUUGUCUCCUGGCUUCCAGUGCAGACUUUUCAGCCUCCAGUACAGACCCUUCAGCCUUCCUGCGUAGACCCUUUGGCCCUCAACCACAGACCCUUGGGCCUCCUGAUACAGACUUGCAUGGGACACUACACUGAUCUCUAAGGCCUUCAACAAGAUCCUUUGGCUCCCCACUGAUCAGACAGACCCUCUGCACUCUUCCACACCCAAUUCUGUGGGCAGCCACUGGAUCGAACUCGGGUCCUUGCGCUUGCACAGCAGGCGGCGAAACCACUGAGCUAAAUCCUCGGCCUAAAAAGAGUAUUAACUUUAACAAUCAUUUUACAGCAAUCAUGUAGAGACUUGUGUUGAAGUUGUGUUCUGAACUCACUUUGUGUUCAUAAGAAACAAAAAUAGGAGAAAAUUUUAGAAUAUCCAAUAUUUUAACUUUUCAUAAUUUCAAGACUUCAG